rnacentral:rRNA from 1 species
UACGUAGGGUGCAAGCGUUGUCCGGAAUUAUUGGGCGUAAAGAGCUCGUAGGCGGUUUGUCGCGUCGGAUGUGAAAGCCCGGGGCUCAACCCUGGGUCUGCAUUCGAUACGGGCAGACUAGAGUUCGGUAGGGGAGACUGGAAUUCCUGGUGUAGCGGUGAAAUGCGCAGAUAUCAGGAGGAACACCGGUGGCGAAGGCGGGUCUCUGGGCCGAUACUGACGCUGAGGAGCGAAAGCGUGGGGAGCGAACAGG